ensembl:lncRNA
GUUUUCCUAUGGAUCUGCAUUUUGUAAUUACAAAUUUUUGACAAAUUUUCCUUCGGUCGACAAGUUCUCGUGUACGUGGUUUCAGUCAGAGGGCUCGCUUGGUGGGACUUAGAAUAUCCGGACUGGAGAUUAUAGGUAGCUAGGACACGUUUUUCCUCAAAUGAGACACGUUAAUCUCUGGAAUCGUAUCCGCUGAUGUAGGAGACUCGGAUAUACUACAGGACUGCCAGCAAGGAACCGCAGGAACGUCCACUGGCACGCACUCAGAGUCCGCACCACCUGAGCAGUCAGAGCCCAUUCAGUCCAGCGUCUCCCGUGUCUCUAAUGUUCCCCCCAGUGCUGAAGCCCAUCCAUCUGGCCGUGUCUUGAUGCAUGCUGUUCUGGAGUCACAACAGGAAAUUGUUAGGGCCAUUGAAGAAAUGAACAGUCACCUUAAAAAUGUC